AUGAGGGAUGAUUCUUUUUCUGGGUGUGUUCCUUGUUUGGCAGGAAAAUUCAGUCUCCCGGGUUCUUGCCCGCGACCUGCCCGCCGGACCCUCUGGAUCACCAUGACAACCAGAAAACGCCUCCUCCCCAUCAGCAGGCCCUGGAACGGACCCCCGCACCCACGGAAACUAGCAUCCCAACUGACCACACUUGGUAGAGGGUGCAACAUAAGAUCGUCUUGCUUCUGUGUCCAGACUAUGGCUCCCCGGGCUUGUUCGGAACACUGGAAGAAGGGCCUCUGUCUCUCCCUGCCACGCGGCAGACAGACUCUCAGGAAGACAUCCUGUAUGUGGCCCAUUCUCCGCAGUCGGGACAUCUUGAGCCGUGCGUUGCUCUCUGCUGUACCUUCCAGCCCUGGGGCCUCUGACAUUUACUUUCCUAGUGUGUCCAACGCUCCAAUUUCUUUGAGGAGGGCCCAGCUGUGCUCCAAAGUGCGCUGCAGAAGAAACUACACUGAAUUCUCUAUGAAGGAGGCAUUUUUCUUCCCCCCGUUCUACAAGAUGGAGAAACCGUGGAUCAGAGGAGUUAAGCAAAUCACCGAGGCCACACAGCUGGUGGGACCCCAGCAUUGGUAUGUUUUAAAGGUGCCCCCAAUGAUGAUGACGCCAAUGAUGCUGGUAGGAGCAAUCAAGCUACCAUGACAGGUGACCAUAAUGAUACUUCCUGCUUGCUGUUUCUUUGAGAGCAGUUGGGGGGAGAACAGGACCCCCCAAGGCUAUUCUAUACACAGAGGGAGAGGGGAGCACCAAAGGGGAACGGACACUGAUGCUCUUCUCCAGGGACACAGCUCCAAAAAGCCAGAUCCGGGAAAGAAGCAGGCGGAGUGGUACCCAUCAGGCAAGUGAAUUCUAUCAGGUCAUCGGAUUAACCUACAUGUGGCUUUGAUCAGACCUCUUCGUGCUCACAGCUUGCACUUUUGGUUGGUACCCCUUCUCAUCCACACAGAAGAAAACCACUCCUCACACACACCUUGAUUUUUUUACCUUGGAACUUCUGACCUCAAAACCCUCUGACCUAAACUCUGUGCUUCCUACGUUACCUGGCUGGGGAGCAUCGCUCUCCUGGCAGUGGAUCUGGGGGGGAAUUUAGAACAUCUGAUGGUGUGACCAGCUAGUCCGUGAGGACGUGAGACUCACAUUGGGAAAGAAUUGUGAUUGACACCGUGAGGGGGAAGUGGCUGGCCUCGGGGUCACAGAGUUUCCCUUUGAAAGGUCCUUCCCGUUUCCUUCCAGCACGCGGUGGCACCGGAUCAGUAUUAAACCAAAGGUAACCACAGGGCUUUCAUACCAAUUAAGUGAGAUUAAAGAGGAAAUGAUUACUAAGAGUUAAAUAGCCAAAAUAAGAGGAAUACUAAUGGUGCUGUAUUGGCACAAAUUAGCACUCAAGGUUGCCAGGAAGGGCAGUAAGAUCCGUAUGGGUAACUCAGCACAUGUUGCCUCACCGUCUCAUCUCACCCUCCCAGCCACUGCCAUUCGUCCUGCUUAUCAGCAAAGGAAGUGCACAAGGGAGUCAAGGCCCUUCCUCCAACACAUGGCCUGAGUGCCGGGCAGAGUCAUCAUUUGAACCCAGCUCUGAUGCUGAAUCAGGACCAGAUACAUCAUUUACAGGCCCCUGGUUUUAAAACGAAUUAAGAAUUUCAAAACGGCAGCAGAAGAGCCUUAAACCAAAUGCAGGGUCCUUCUAAGUGGGGGCCGGGGCCCCACUGAGUCACAGUCUGCAUCCAGGGGAACUCUGUGUCCCUUAAACUUAAAGCUCUAUCUUCGACUUCUGGCCCCCAGAACUCUGAGAAAAUAGAUCAGUGUUGCUUUAAGUCAGUAAGUUCAUGAUACGUUGUUACAGCAGCAACAGGAAACUCAUACAGCUGGCCUGUAAAUGUAUCUACUGCCUCCUGAAGCAGCCUGCUCAGUGUAGGCAGGGACUUGGAGCAGGGCAGCCCUGGGUCGUCCUCCAGACCCCUUCCAUUGCCCAGGAGAACAGGUGUUUAUUACAGUCCCCAGAGAGGCCCUGUCUUUUACGAAUUUCCCCCUUUAAUAAUGUGCUCCAAUGAGUGAGGUAUUGCACUAGAACAAUUUGCUUCUAGGAAUUAAUACACCCAAGCAGCAUUAAUAGAACAUGCUGGCAUACUCUGAAAAUUCCACUUCAUCGCUCAUGAGGUUGCCGAAGACAUGGCAGAGGAGUGGGGAUGCUCACUGAGCCACGGAUCCAUUUACCCCAAACUUCCAUUCCCUCCCUCCCUGCUGGGUCCAAACCAGGGCACGUGGGAGCGGGGAGGUCCUUUCCGACUUCACAGACCCUCCCCACCCCACAGAGCCUGCUGACGGGUCCCGCCUGGGGACAGAUGGAAAUUCUCCACCUUCUUGCAAAUUUCCCAGCACCCUUUAGUGACCUCCCUUCCUUCUGAUUUUGAUCCAGACCACAGGUGAUGGGAGGGAGAGGACAGGUGACAGGCAUUGAUGGGCUUCCAGAAGGCAGGGCAUUGACUGGACCAGAAGAGUACAAUUCUUUUUAGAACACACUGAAUGACUGACUUCUGAAAAAAAAUAAGUUUACACCAGAAUAUGCAGAGGGAAGCUGACCCCUCGGAACACCUACAAACAUUCCCAUUUAAACACUCAUUUCAGAUACAUUAUUUUUAAACCAAAUGACGGAGCAUCAGGGACACCUACAAUUUGAAGAAAGAAUCCAGGUUUAUCACAAAGUGGGUAACGACUUCGAGAAAGCAGUGUUGGUUAACAGUAAGAAACGUCAGACUGAGAGGAGAAUUUUGAAAGAAAAUAGUGCUUUAAAAAACAACUGUGCCCUAGAAGAAAUCAUCUCUCUCACGUGCUUUUAGAUAAUGGUCCCUUUGCCAUUUCCACUGAAUUCUUUCCUCCCUACUUUGAAAUAUUACAGUUUGGAAACAUCCCAUAAUGCACCCAACGUAGCCUUUGGGGUGUGUAUUUGAUAAUGACUUUGGCUUUCCUCUGCUUGGUGCCCAGUAAUAAGAAAGUGGAGGUUGUCUAUGACAAGACAUGUGCUGGGGUUGGGGUGGGGGGAAGGAGGAGGAAGAGAAGGGAGAAGAGGAGAGAAGGGGGGAGAGGGAAGGAAGAAAAAGUCCUAACUCUUGUGAUAAACUCUAGAACAUCCUCUAAGCCCUUUAUUCUGAAGUCUAGACCUCGUUUGCCCAGAGCAUCGCAUGAUCACCAAUGCUUUGCUCAGGGUGUCCCCACCCAUAGAGAAAGAAAGGAUUCAGCCAGAUGCGAACAUUUUAAAAAUGAAUAAGUGACCCUCCCCUAGGAAAUCAGAUUCUGAGUUAGAACCCUCGUCUGGCGUAGCACAUAAGCCCUUAUCUUCUGGGCCCUAAAAUGAACACCCGCUGGUGAAACUGGGAAACGUCUGAGUUCCACUGGCAGACUCAACAGGGCAGGAGAUGAAAAAAAUUAAAAAAGAAAACACAAAAAGCUUGAAAAGGGGAGAGAAACGCAGCCAACUAAUUCACUAAGCAGGACAAGCCCGCAUCACGUGAGCUGCAGAGAGCUCUCCUGGCUUUCAGGGAGCUCCCGACAUGGCUCAGCAGUUAAUGAACCCACUGGCAUCCACGAGGACACGGGUUCAAUCCCUGGCCUCGCUCGGUAGGUUAAGGAUCCGGCGUUGCCGGGAGCUGUGGUGUGGGUCGCAGAGACGGCUCGGAUUCCGAGUUGCUGUGGCUGUGGGGUAGGCCGACGGCUGUAGCUCCGAUUGGACUCCUAGCCUGGGAACCUCCCUAUGCUGUGGCUGUGGCCCUCAAAGACAAAAAGACCAAAAAAAAAGUUUUCCUUUCUUAAUUAUUAUUUUUACUUUUAAAGAGCAAGUGGAAGAUGUAUAUUUUGAUGAAGGAUGGUGUGUUUUUUUUUGCAAGUCAUCUGAAGGAUGACUGGACAGCCAAGCAAAGGCUGCUGGAAGCACUGAAUCCCUAGAAUGUGACUUUUUUUUUUUCUUCCUGAGUAGGCCUGUCUGUUUGUUUAGGCAGACUUGGAGUUCGGUUGUUUGGAAGAAUGAACAUCACUGUUUUGUUCUGGAGAGAAGUUCUCGAUGGUGUCUGCUGCUGGUUCUUUAUCCCCACACGUUGACUCGGAUAUUAAAAUUCAGUACUUACAAGAAAGAGUUAAAAACACGACCAGCCACGCCUCGGUUAAAAUUACAAAUGAGAAAAAGGGAUGCCUCCUACACCAGCUUCCCAAUGUCCCCAUUUCUGUCAAGAAUACCAGGAUUCUUGCCGUGAGCCAAGCGCAAAGCCUAAGCAGUGUUCAUCCCAACAGCCUUUCUAGUCUGAAAAUAUGUCCUGUUGAUUUUUUCCAACCCCUCGAUUGUCUCACGUCCCUUUUCCCACCCUCAUGGACCUACUUCUGGACUUUAUCAGCUCAUGCUGGAACACAUGCAGUGGCCCUUUAACCUCCCCCCCAACCCCCCUGCUGUCAUUUCUAACCUCUUCCGUCUGGCACUUCUCUUAUUGCCAAUUAGAUCACGUCCAAUUCCUCGUGAAGUCAUCCAUAAUUUGGGCCACACCACCUGCUCAUCUUGCUCACGUCCUUACCUUGCGUUCACGGUCAUGUGGUCUAUCAGUGAUCUACUACUGAGGAACAAACCAACCCACACCUCCGUGCCUAAGACAACGGACCUUUAUUUUGCUCACGAAACUGAAGCAGGAAGAUCUCCGUGGAGCCGACUAGUCUGACCCAAGAUCAAGACGGCAGUUUCUGCUCAGCCAGGACUAUGGACAGGCACCUCUUCAUGUCCACCAGUGGCUGGGCUUCCUCAUGGUACGGGGGUUCCCAGGCUCAGCAUCCCAAGAGAACCAGAAGGGAGUUGUGCCACAUUUUAUGACCUAGCUUCCGGAGUCAAGCAAUGUCACUUCCACGAGGCCACUCAGAUUCAAGGGGAGGGGACAUGGUCGCCAUCCUUCAAUGGAAGGAGUGUCAAGUCACGGAGUAAAAGAAUCAUGCAGAACGGGAGACACCAUUGCAGUCAUUUUUGGGGAAAUGCAAUCUGCCACCUGCAGCCUAUGAUUGGGGUGAUGGAUUUAGGACAAAUGCCAAGUAACACUUGCCAUCCAGUGGGCAGUGAGUGCAGGGUCACAUGCUCAGAUCUUGGAGUUGUCUGCCUCAUCUUGGAACCAAGACCACUCAGGCCAAUAAAAGCUGUGACUUUCCCACGUCAGGGUUAGUGGCAGAUUGGCCAUCAGCAGGCAGAUUUUUAUUCGGUGGGUUGGGUUUGGAUGAGGGUUUGAAAAUGUCUGCGUUAAAAACUCUCCACGAUGAUUCGCAUGAACAGGCAACUUUGGGGAACAUCAGGCUGGGAUUUAUCUCUCACUGUCCCUGCAGUUGCCAGAGGACACACAGGCAGCUUGUUACCAGAAAUCCAGGAGGGUGUGGGUAUAUCACCGGAAUAUUUAGGGUCCUCUCCAAAUGGCAGCCGUCCUCAUCAGUCCACAGCCCGGCUGCACAAGCUAAUCUCCCUGGAUAAUUAGGCGAAUGACUAGUCAAGUUCCCAUCCUGCCCUGGAGAAACAGGAAUCAGGCACCAACUUGUUGGGGGUAAUUGAAUCCAUGCCAGUGUGCUGGCUCGCUGCCUUUCCCCCUCCAAGGAUUCAAGAGAGUAGCCUGUUGCCACAAGCAGAAGGUUUGGGUACCAGCGGCGACCAGGAACUGGCAGAGGCAAAGGCACCCUUCAUUAUGCAAUUAUCCAUAAUUAGGUGCUCAUUACUAUUUUACGAUCAGAGAGCCAGCACCCACCUGUGCAGGGCUGUCGUGGGGACUGGCGGGGCCGGGAGGCAGAGCCUCGCCUUUUCUCUAAGAACAUGACAUCGAACAUCAGCAGUGCCCACGCAACAUUGUAAAUCGACUCUACGUUGAUUUAAAUUAAAAAAAAAAUUUUUUUAAGAAUAAGGCUAUGACCAAAACAAACAAAAAACCCAAAAAACAAAAACACAAAAUAUCAAAACUCAUUUGGAAUGGGACUUUUAAAGGGUUAGAGGUGGAACUUAGGACUGGCCCUUUAGGGUUAGAGGCAGUAACAGUGACAAUGGCCAAGUGGCUGUGAUCUUUCCUAGAAGGUACGACCCAGAAUGUGAACCUGAUUUUGUUUUUUGUUUUUUGUCUUUUUGCAUUUGUCUAGGGCCGCUCCCACGGCAAACGGAGGUUCCCAGGUUAGGGGUCAAAUCGGAACUGUAGCUGCCGGCCUACACCACAGCCACAGCAACACUGGAUCCUUAACCCACUGAUCAAGGCCAGGGAUCGAACUCGCAACGUCAUGGUUCCUAAUUCGAUUCGUUAAUCACUGAGCC
rnacentral:lncRNA from 1 species